UACGUAGGGACCGAGCGUUUGUCCGGAAUCAUUGGGCGUAAAGAGCGUGUAGGCGGCCAAUUAAGUCCUGUGUGAAAUCUUGGGGCUCAACCCCGAGCGGUCGGUGGGAACUGGUUGCUAGAGUGCGGGAGAGGAGAGUGGAAUUCCUGGUGUGCGGUGAAAUGCGGCAGAUAUCAGGAAGAACACCCCGUGGCGAAGGCGGCUCUCUGGAACGCAACUGACGCUGAGACGGCGAAAAGCGUGGGGGAGCAAACAGG
rnacentral:rRNA from 1 species